UUGCAGAUCCAACUCCUCGGCCUUCUAUUCCUUCAACCACGCAAGCCCAUAGUCCGGGUACAGGCCGCCGGUGCGGAGAUGCAGGAGCGAAGGGGCGUCGACGGCGGCGCUGUCCUCCCCGAUCUCGACGGCGGCGCUGUUCUCCCCGAUCCCGGCGUGCCAGUUUCGGGUCGCCGCGUGCGCCUCUCUUCCCCUCGCCGCCGUGAUCAGCACCCCAGCGGUUAGUACUCGUCUGCUGCUUAUGGAGUUCUAGACACCGACAUGGGCGAUUUUGAUUAUCGAAUGGGAAUUGGGAAAAAGCCCUAAUCCUACCGUUUCUUCUAGUUCCGCUGUCUCGUGCAAAAUUAUGGAAUUAAUCUUGCCAAGCUAGGUUGAAACGGGAUGUGCAGUUUGCCAAUUUCGGAAUUAGUGCGGUUCCUUUGCGAUUAGCAUGUUACUCCCAUGAUAGCCUAUGUUAAUUUCCCCCUCUGCAAUGCCAAUGAUAACUUGACUGUAAGAAUUUGUCGCCGCCGGUUAGUUCUUUGUCCGUGCACCACGAUUUUCACUCCAGAGUCCAUAUACUUGCGUGCAAAGUAAGCUGCGUCUCCAUCUUGGUAUAGUAGUACUUUUCAAAUGGGAGUAUUUUACGGCUAAUGUUUCUCCUCUUAAUUGUUUGUGGGUUGUCUAUCUUUUGCUUGUUCUAUCCUCCAAAUUUGUUUGGAUUUGGUUGGCCAAGGUCCUCCUCCGUCUGGCUAUCUCUCUCGUUUGCCAAACUUUUAGAUUUGGAAAGAUUGACGGGUGGUGGCAUGGUAGGGGACGGCAGAUUGACAUAUAUUGGAGCAAGCGGCAAGUGGUGCUCCGGAUAUGAUUUUUCUGGACAUCAUAUCUGCAGCAAGCGUUUUGCGAGGAAGUGCUUUGUCUUUUUAAAAUGUGUCACGGGUUAACGUAGGAUGCUAUUACUCGCACUAGCUAAUUAUUUUGUUUAUCUGAAAACGAACGCCACCGUUGAAAUACGAGUAGAUGCAGUACAUCUCCAAAAAAAAUAAAAAAUCUUGAGGUCAGGGUUAGUGACAUCUUGCAACAGGUGUUAUGAAUAUUUUUAAGUGCAGAAUAUGCUACCGUGGUGGUCUUGAGCACUAGCAAGAGGUAAAGCUAUAUGCCACAGCAUUGCCAUGUAAGUGCUUUCAUCAUAUAUUUUCCAGUUCUGUGAAAAGCUAGCUUGUGUAUGUAGUGUGGACAUGCUUAGAAACAAAUGCCCAAGCCAGUAACUUCAUUAACUUUGGAUAUACUAAUAUACUUUGAAAUGCAUACCGAGGUAGAAAGUAUAGGUGGACUUUAAAUAGCUUAGCGGCGGCCAAUUCGGUGCUAGGCUUCUCCUGGUUCCGUGUGUUGGAGCUGUCGACGUGUGGGUGGUGGUAUACUUUUUUUUCUUUUCCUGGUUACGAUCUUACGGGGUUGUAAUCUUGUAAUUUUUCUUCUGCUCUAUCAAUAGAACUUCGCACCAUCUUGUGCGAGUUGUUCAAAAAAAAACUUUAAAUAGCUGGUAUUUGUUGUGUUGUCUUUGUAGAAGACUUGUCCAAACUUGGCCAUUAGCACAUCGUCUUGUAAUUGACAGGUGGAGAGGAUGACUCAUUAUGCACAUCUCUAUCUUGCAUUUCUCAUGUGUCGGUUUACAACCAAAAUGCUUUGCUCUUGCAGUAUCCAACCUUAUUUUUUUUCUAAUGGGGGCAACAGAGGGUGGUUUGGAAAAUGCUUUGGUCACAGCUGAACUUGAGAUCUUGAAAGAAGAGAAACUUCAGUUGCUAUCUGGCAGUCGGUACUGAGCACCAUGCAUCGCCAUCUGCUUUGCUUUCAGCAUCUUCUUACUCACCCAACUUAAGGAUGUAACAAACCCACCAUGGAUGCCUGUGGAGCAAUUCUCUCCCUUCUUUUUACCUGCCAAAGCUUCCUUCCAUGAUGCCUCCUUUUUCCUUCAUUUUUCCUCUUUCCAUUUAGCCUCUCUUGGUGGCAUCAUGCUCACCAAAGGAAUGGACUUGGCAUCCAUUUGGUGCUAAUCUCUAAGCUGCUGGCUGUAUUGCAUAAGUAUUCUUUAAGGAUCCUAGAUAGUAUUUGUGGGUGUCCUGACUAUAAUGGAGGAGGUACCAUCCCCACUUUCCUACUGGUUGUGUAUAACCCCUGAAACCAAUGAGCUUUGCUUGUGGCUUUCCUCGUCUGUACUCCAGCUUUAUUCCCAUUCUCUUAUCGUGCACCUGUUCCUCUCUUCAUGUUUCUCGGUGGCAUCUAACAAUGCUGAUGGAUAUAUCUGCAGGCGUCUUGAUGCAUCCUAUGCUUCUUCCUUAAGAUAAGAAGAGCAAUGGUGUUUAUUACAUUACCAUAUUAGCAUGACGAAGGUUGCUCAUUAGUAUAUCAAUAUAUGAAUCUCUGAAUUUGUUUAUGACCCAUUUCUUUGAGCUGCGUAUACGUAUACUUAAUACAUGUUAUUUUGAAAUAUCUACUUAAUACAUGUAAAGAAAAUGGAAGGAAAAGUAGAAGAGAUCCAUAAAGUGGAUAUCUAUCAUAAGGUUGCAGAGUUGGAUUAAGCGUGUACGGACAUUAGUGGGCCUUGCGGCAUGACUUUGUUAGUACUUCUGCAUACCUGUGGUAGUACCAUAAUGCAGCAUUAGAUUCAUCUUAAACAUAUAUAUUUAUUUCUUUGUCCAUGCUUACCUGCAAAGUCUACAAGGCCAUUAGUCCUUGUGAUUGAGCAAAGCAUCCCCUUCGCGGCAGUCUUAUAAUGGGCUUCUAGCCUUGUGCCUUAUAUAUUCUUGCCAUUCAACUAGGCUUCAUUACUUUUAGGACCCAUGAAGCCAUGUACCUGCAUUCAACUAACUGCCAUCAAAUGUGUUAGGUUUCUCUUCUUAGCGUCUAAACUAGGCUGAAGCAAACUGAUCUGAUCCUUCUUUCCCUGACGCAAGAUGCUGGUUCGAUUAGGUUGUAUCUUGUGCUAAGGGGGCAAGUACAUGAAAGAUGCAGUCAACACGAUAAGUUGCAAAAUAAUUGUCUAGCUGGCUCCUUAUGGAGCUUUCUAAUGGGUGGACAGCACUAACAAAAAUAAAAUCAUCCUUUCUGCAAUGGACGAAAUGUGAUUAUGGUGCUAACAUUUGACCAACUAGAAGCUACGGUAUCGGAUCAUCCAAACUUUCUUUCAUCCUAUUUCAAACUAGCUGCGGUAUUGGAGUUCAUCGGUGUGCGGGAUUUCAGCGGUAUGUAGGAGCUGUUGUACUCAAAGUCGUCGAUGCGCUUGAGAAGAGAGUCGAGGUAGUCCAAAGUGUAAUUCUUUGUAUGCCUGGUGAAAAUAAAAACAGAAAACAUUUGUUUCAAAAGAUAAGAAAAGAAUUGAAAAACAUAAUUUAUAUUUAAAAAAGAGCAUGUGACUGUCAUCAAGAAGUGGGGUGGAGAGGACUGAAGAGGUUGGCCUUGCUGCAGCCCGUGCCUCGCAAAAUCCAAACAAAUUAAACUCCUGCCUACAAUGGCGACCCGUUCAUGCAAUCCUUUUUCUCUCUUUUUUCCUCUCCAGAGUCCAGUCCAGGCUAGAACCAGCAGCAGUGUGGCCAGCAGCGUCCCUAUUGCUGCAUGUUUUUGCAUCAGCCGGUGACUGAUGAGUGAGUAAGGUUGCUGGGCUGGCCGGCCUCGGUAUCCUGGCUCCCAUUAGGGUGGGCAUCAAAAGACAGUGCAACGCUGCCGUGGACUAGAUGGGCAAAGCAGCAAGCACAGGGCCGACCCUUUGGAAGGGCAUGCCAGCCAGGGGGGCACACAUGGGGAGUAAUGGUGUGGGAGCUGCCGCUGCCGCUGCACUGCGUGGUAGAAACAAAUCUGGGGUCAGAGCUGGCCUAGCGAGAGAGAGAGAGAGAGAGAGAGACCCAAUGCAUGAUGGGGGAAGGAACCUUGUGAUAUGGAGAUGCAGCAUAGCAUAGGGAAGGGCCGAUGCACAUGCCAAUGCCACUGCCGAUCAGGUACAGAUGCUCUCUCUACAGAUCCCUCUAGCUUGGUUGGUUAAUGCUGUUAGGCAUGGAGGUUUGUUGCUUGCUUUACUUUGCUCAAUGGCUAUAGUAAAAGUGGUGAUCAAGAUAAGACAGCAAUGCUGCCUGGAACAGUGAAAAUCUGAAUUAUUAUCAGGGUUUAUGGAGCAAAGAAGUAAAGCAAUCAAGGCAUGCAUGCCUCGCAGGAUAAAUAUAUACACAUCUCUGUCGGAACCUUUUCAGGGUCAUGUCUAUAAUGCCACUUUGCUAAGCCACGGGUUUGCAUUUAGCUUAGUUGAGGCAACAUGAGCUUGGGACCCGCAGAGAGUGUAGCUGUGAAUCUCUGAUUCAUCAGCUUUGUUGCAGUGUGCAGUCACUCACUUAUGAUGUUUUCACCCACACAUACAGAGAGAUACACUCCUAUUUCUUAAAGAUUGCACACAUACAAGAGGAGUCAGUCUCAGUCACUGCGUCCUGCUGCGUGAAGAGGGAAUAGGAAGCAAAUAUUGGAGAGACAAGUGCAGCUGUUGAGACCAGAGAAGGGAGGAGUGGUGGCCUUUGCACUGCUCACAUGAGAAGGAUCAGAAGAGUGUAAUAAUAUAAAGGCAGUGCAUGUGAUGGCGAUUGGUGUGGUUUGGUGCUCCUCCAGGAAACACUCAUCAGUCUCCCGUAGCAUCACUUACUAUAAUAAUUAAAGUCCAAAACACAUUAGCUAGCUGCACGUUAGCAUGUUUAUCCAACCAAGAAGGUGAGGACUGAGCAGGAUAUGAAAGAAAGAAAAGAAGAAAAGGAUGGAAAAAAAGAAAACGGAGACAAGAAUUGCUAAUGGAGGCAACAGGACUACAGAAGAGUAGGUGGGCUAAACAAUGGGGAGGAGGAGCAGCAUCAGAGCAUGGCAUGGAGAAGUGUGAGCUUGGGGCCAAAGGAAAGGAGCUCUCCUCUGACGACGCCCAUAUGCUUUGGUUCUAGCACAGCAUUAAGUAGCGAGAAAGACGGUGUUGGUGAUGGCCAUGAUUCAUGAGAAGUUGCGAAAGUCUCUCAUUAGUGCCUGGAAAUGAAGGUUGUUUAUGCACUUUACCUGCCUUGUGCCCAAAUCCCUUAAUCAAGCUGUUGGAAUCUUUUGUUAAAAUUAAAGGGUUCCUGUACUGCUGUUAAAGUGUCAUGUAUGCAGUUCAAGUAGAUGCAUCAUGCCACCUGCAUAUGUUGGCAGUUGUUGGAGUAUAUUACUGACAUUAUCUCUGCUGUUUUCCCAUUAUUAUACCUGAAUGUAUUCGGUACUUCAAUUGACA